rnacentral:lncRNA from 1 species
GAGGCACUUGUGUCCCGCCUUCCAGCGCCUGCGGUAAAGAUGUCCCACCCAUUCCCAGAAGCCAAGCCCUCCAAUUCCAAGAACCUGAGAGUCCUCUUUGACGUGGACAUCGGCAGGGAGCGGGUUGGACGAAUUAUUUUAGAAUUGUUUGUAGAUAUUGUUCCUAAAACUGCAGAAAAUUUUCGUGCAUUGCAUACAGGAGAAAAAGGCACGGACCCCCAACAGGAAACCUCUCCAUUUUAAAGGAUUCCCUUUCCACUGAACUAUUAAGAAAUUCAUGAUUCAGGCUGGAGCCUUCUCAAAUCGGAUUGGGACAGGUGGAGAAAGUAUUUAUGGUGAAAAAUUUGAAGAUGAGAAUUUUCAUUAUAAGCAGGACCGGGAGGGUUUGCCGAGCAUAGCAAGUGCAGGUCCCAAUACAAAUGGUUCUCAGUUCUUCAUCACAACAGGUCCAACUCCUCAUGUGGAUGGGAAACAUGUGGUAUUUGGUCAAGUAAUAAAAGGGCUAGGUGUGGCAAGGAUGCUUGAAAAUGGAUAAGUGAAUGGUGAAGAAUCUGCCAAACUCUGUUAUUGCAGAAUGUGGAGAAUUGAAAGAAGGGGAUGACUGGGGAAUAUUCCCCAAAGACGGCUCUGGGGACAGUCAUCCAGAUUUCCCUGAGG